rnacentral:rRNA from 1 species
GAUGAACGCUGGCGGCGUGCCUAAUACAUGCAAGUCGAGCGAACGGACGAUAAUCUUGCUUCUCUGAUGUUAGCGGCGGACGUGUGAGUAACACGUGUAUAACCUACCUAUAAGACUGGGAUAACUUCGGGAAACCGGAGCUAAUACCGGAUAAUAUUUUGAACCGCAUGGUUCAAUAGUAAAAUACGGUCUUUCUGUCACUUAUAGAUGGAUCCGCGCUGCAUUAUCUAGUUGGUAAGGUAAAGGCUUACCAAGGCAACGAUGCAUAGCCGACCUGAGAGGGUGAUAGGCCACACGGGAAGUGAGACACGGACAAGAGUACUAAGGGAGGCAGCAGAAGGGAAUCUUACGCAAUGGGCGAAAGCAUGACGGAGCAACGCCGAGUGAGUGAUGAAGGUGUUCGGAUCGUAAAACUCUGUUAUGAGGGAAGAACAGAUGUGGAAGUAACUGUGCACAUAUUGACGGUAACUAAUCAGAAAGCAACGGCUAACUACGUG